GAUGAACGCUGGCGGCGUGCCUAAUACAUGCAAGUCGAGCGAAUUGACAGAGGUGCUUGCACCUCUCGAUUUUAGCGGCGGACGGGUGAGUAACACGUGGGUAACCUACCUAUAAGACUGGGAUAACUUCGGGAAACCGGAGCUAAUACCGGAUAAUAUUUAGCUUCGCAUGAAGCAAUAGUGAAAGACGGUUCUGCUGUCACUUAUAGAUGGACCUGCGGUGUAUUAGCUAGUUGGUGAGGUAACGGCUCACCAAGGCAACGAUACAUAGCGGACCUGAGAGGGUGAUCGGCCACACUGGGACUGAGACACGGCCCAGACUCCUACGGGAGGCAGCAGUAGGGAAUCUUCCGCAAUGGACGAAAGUCUGACGGAGCAACGCCGCGUGAGUGAAGAAGGUUUUCGGAUCGUAAAACUCUGUUGUAAGGGAAGAACAAGUACGUUAGUAACUGAACGUACCUUGACGGUACCUUACCAGAAAGCACCGGCUAACUCUGUGCCAGCAGCCGCCGCAGUAA
rnacentral:rRNA from 1 species